GGAGCAGUCGGGGAAAGGGUGCGUGCACAGGGUAUAGCUGACUGGCACUGCAAUGUAUACGGCUAAAAAAGAAAAAAGGCAACAGUUUUCAUCCGAGGACAACAUGGCUUUGACAGCACGGUAAAACGACUCUUUGCAGUGUGGGUGUGAUGACUCCGGAUACAGCAGCUUAUUGCGACUGACAGGCACACAAGGGUGAGUCUGGGACUAUUCCGGAUACAGUAACACAUGGCGGAACUCGCGCUGUAUAACACCAAAAGGUAUCGGAUGAGGGAGCUCGGAUCACUCCCGGACGCCAGAAUUAUCAAUUGUCUUAUUGGAUACUACGAUAGUCAAGCAAUCCACUUAUUAACACAUUUCCAUUCAGUACUAUUAGAUUAUUUUCAAGUUCAACAUUUUUGCUAUGUACUUUUGAAUAAAACUUAUUUUAAGACUAAGCGCUUGGGAAUGCCUUUUGAUUUUGUCUUGUACACUCGCCCACAGAGCCCAAGCCGUUGGAUAACCCUAACCCUGAACUCAAGAGAGAACAAAUCAACCUGACGAUUUAAUAAGCAUUGGUUUGAGCGCUGAUAUUGUCAAAGGCUGGAUUAUAUCAGGCAAUGUUUUAUAUGACCGUCAUGCAAAACAAACACCACCAAGAACAACCACCAAAAAACAAAACAAAACAAAACAAAACAACAAAACAAAACAAAAAACAAACCAUAGUAUAUAGUGGACAACUGGCUAAGAAAGUCUUUACGGAAGGACAGCGAUCCGGUGACGUCACACAGCAUGUCAACGGUUUUGAUGAAUUGUGUGGGUUUUACAUAUUUCUUUUUAUAUCACUCGUUUUUUUUUGAAGUUGUGAAGACAAAUAUUAAAGAGAUAAAGAUUUUGAUUCAGUGUGCGCGGUGCCCUUUGUUUUUGAUAUACACACGCCAAUAAAACCAAUAAGACACUCAUUACCACUGCAUUAUAUUAGCUUUCGAAUAAAUUUUAAAUUGACUUGGGUAAACAGAUUUGUUGACAUAUCCAUUGGGAUUUUAGAUAUUUUGAUUUCGUCACCCUGACGAUACCUCAUCCUUCCCUUAAACGUUUAAACAUUUAAUCUCUCCAUGAUUGUUUCCCCAAACUUCCUUAGCUAAAAGAUGUUCAGAAAGAGUACGUAGGAGCAUGCGUGCAGCAGAUGCUGUGUGCCUUGUGUGUGUGUGUUUGUCCAUUGGCAUAUAGCUAGUUUUACAGUAAUAUCAUAAGGAGUUAAUAAAUAUUAUAGAUUAUUGUAUUAGCAUUUUAUUAAAUGCUGUUAUUUAACAUGUGUGCAUUGUCUAGUCGUCACUCAUUUCAGCACAUUUUGUGUAGGUGUUGAUGUGAUGCACACUGUUACGUAGUUCCCGGUACGAACCAGUGCUGUAUAUUAAAUUAUUACUGGUGUUUGCUAUGUCACCAGUGUUCUCUGAUACAUAAUAAUAAAUAAUUAGAGAUUUAUAUAGUGUAGGAUCACGGUCAUAUAGGAGCGCGCGCAAAGCGUUUGGCACAAACACGAGUAUAGGACAUGAUGGAGCGGCGACUGGUAAGGAUGAAGGACGAAAGACAGUUAUGGCACAGAGGACAGAGUGCAUAAGCUAAAAUGUAACCAACAAAAGGAUAUCAGCAGGACAUACUAAUCAAGAACUAGAGAUAAAGAGAAAGACGGAGAAGGAGGAGUAAGUGGAGUGUGUUUAGGAGUGCUCACUUACAAGAAGUGUUUUUAACACCUCAACAGUAGGCGGCGGAUAUAAAAGGGAAGUAAGUUCUACUGCUCGCUGCACCAUGGGUAGCAAGUUGGUGACCCUACCUUACUCUUUUGGCGACAGGUGUAGACCGUGCGCUGGUCAGACGAAUAGCAACCUUUUCAGUUGGGAUUGGUGGGAUAGAGGGGGAGGGAGAAGUUCGGAGUGCGUUGAAAGAGUAAAGCACAGACAACUUACUGAAUGCGAGCAUUAACACAGACAGCGAGUGACAAGAAAGAAGGACAGUGACAUGAUUCCAGUCCUUGUUUUGAGCAUCAGACGCCCAGCAGAGUUCUGUAUGUUGUGAAAGUGGUGAACGAGGUCUGCAGGGCAGUCCGGUGUGCGAGGUCACUACUGUUGUGUGCUAAAUUAUUCAUGUUGCAUGCUGUUAUUUUUACUAAAUCAUUGGGCCUGUAUGCUAAACUAGCAGUCUUGUCUGCUCAGUUAUCACUUGUGUCUGCAAUGUUGUGUGAAGAAUUCUUUGUGUCACUGCCAUUGAUUACAGUGACGACACUGUUUGUGAGGUUUUCCGAUUCAGCAAGCAGCAUCUUCUGUCUGAAGCUGUGAACAUUUUAAUGGGAAACAACAUUUUUUCCUUCAUGUGAAGCGCAGGACUGAAGAGCAGCCAUGGCAGCAAGACAUGAACACAACAAUGGAUAUGUCCUCGAGACAUCAACAGGCAGUUAAAACACCGCAAAAAUAUUGAUAAAACGGAAGGCAGACACUAACAAGAUAUUUGAACUCUGCAAGAUACCACCAGGACUUCAAUAAGGUACGUAUCCCGGGGGUUGAAUGGAGUCAGAAACCACGAGAGGGCACUAUACUGAACGAUGAGAUCUGAUGCUCACAGAAGCAGUCUGUGUGAAAUGCUCGUCACACAGCCGGUCACACAGCCGGUCACACAGCCCCACGUUUGACACUCCAUGUGCUCACUGGCUGUGAGCUGUGGCUCCUGUGGACUUUACCGCCCUCACAGACUGGAGUCACAAACAACAGUUCACUCCUGACCGCCAGGACACAGCUACCAUUCAUCUGCAUCAGACACUGACCACAGGGUGCUGAGGCCGGAGUGACUGGCUCAUUCUCGGCGUUACGAUAAUCCUGCAUCUGUCCCCUCGCCCUGCAUCGAGAGGGGAAGGAAGGGAGGUUCUGGUCACAUGGCCCCCUGUCCCACACCUCUCCAUCCACCGGCGACAUUGGACAGCGAGGGCUGGGGGUCGCAGGGGGUUUGAGAGCUGCAUGUUAAAACAAUAUUGAACGUGACAAAUAGAAGACACUUUGACUUCAGUGGCUGGGCAGGAAGAAGAAAGAAAGUGGGAAAAUGAGACCUAAAGAGUUCGACAACCAGUCACUCGACAUAGGACAUGAAGACAUAGCUGGCCUGCCAGGCUCAGACAAAUCGUAUGCAAGCCACCCUUUAGCAAGGCAACUGGUCCGUCACCCCGCUGCAGGCACGCCGGAGACGGUGUUUGAGGAGCAUAGUACUGACUAAUGGUUAAAUGGCAGAGUGCAGGGUAAUGGACGUUGUCCUACUAAAAAAGAAAAUAAAUGGAUGAUGAUCAGAGUGUCAGGUGAUAAAGGAAGUCUCGCCCUGCUGCUUAUGAAAACAUCCAGACCCUCUUAUGUCUGAGGACAAGAGAGCUGAGAGAAGACAUACGUUCUGGCGUUUUUUAGUAACGCUUCGUCAUUGGCUACAGACGUUUCGUGUGCAUGCUGUAGCACAUGAACGAUUGCCUACGCAACGGCAGGUGUGCCAAGUGUAUCGUCCGAUUGCCGAGCCACCCAGCAGCUGCCUCUGGCCCUUCACCUGGUUUUGGGGCUUGCCGUCCUGCUGCAGGCAGAUGUUUGGAGUCAUCUUUUUUGGUAAACCAUUGGUCUCUUAGUCUUGAAAGAAAAUCAGCGUGGACGUGUUUCAGGAUGCAACCAAAAAAGCAAACCUCGCUUCCCUCCGCUUUCCCUCCCGCUCCCUCCCUGGCCCCCAGUUUUUUUUAUCAUUGUGCGUGAGCCUGCAAACAGACAGACAGACAGAGCCCGGGCAGGCUUUAUGACCAGCCCGCCAAACACCACGCCAGGCGCUGAAGGACAUGCUCGAAAGCAAAAGUCUGUACGAGGAGAGGCCGGGGAGGGGAAUGACGAAAACAAAGAUGUCUGCACCAGAAGGGAAUUGGGUGUAAUUACAAACUGCUUCGACGCGUGAAACUGAUCAAAUUCGCCACACAACCUUUUGUUUCUUCAACCUUGAGAAGAUCAGAGCCGUGCGCGGAGCGGAAGUGGCGCUAUCGUCACGUGACAGACAUCCUUGGUGGCACGCACCGGCACCGGCAGCUGAUGGGUACAAAGGCGCCGCCGUGAGGGUUGAGAGACACCCGGAUGGUCUGCUCCCUCAUCCUCUACUGAACAUAUAAAUCAUUGGUAAAGGCACCUCUUCCAAACAACAAGAGCCUCAUUUGGGUCUUUAUUAUUUCCAAAGCUUAGCUCUUUCUUUGAUAAAGAUUCCAUCUUACUGACAAUAGGGGGUAGCCGGGGGCCGGUUGGUCAGUCGUGCUAGGUGGACGCCAACGUCUAGCAGCCAGCUAAACUACUCAUAUCUGAGGAGCAGUUUAGCUGACUGUUGCCGUAGCAUCUAGCUAGAGGCACCCGAGUCCAGACAACUAGUGAGAACAGUCUUCAAACGCAUUCUGUCUCAUGGUCAGUGAAGUAUAGUCCAUAUACGCGUUCUGGGAGUCAGCAAUAAUAGUGUCCAGCAUGCAUCUGUUUUUCCUAGAGACUGUCUCAGACUAUCAACGGUUUGAUAAUACAUUAUCGUUCAUACUUUAUGUGGUUCAGCACGUAAGUGCACACACACACACACUUAUAGACACGCACUCACAAAUACACUUUUUCAUUUUGUUGACAAAUGGAAGAAAAUACAUCAACGUCUGAUUAUUUUACAGCUGCUGCAUUCAGCUGUUAUUGAUGUUCCUAAAUCGUUAAACUAAGGAUUCUAACAAAUAAAAGCGAUUGUUGUACAGGAAGCUGAGGAUUUGCCUUUUCGUGUGAUUAAUAA